rnacentral:misc_RNA from 1 species
GGAUGCUUGUUCGCGGACGUCUAGGAACACAAUCCCGGCCAACUACGCCUUGGGACCCUUGCCUGAAGCCUUGGAGCUCGGCGAUGAUCCCGCCGUGUUCUUCGCCGCGGCGGAUUGUGCGCGGGCGGGGAAAGAGCCCUUGCCAGUGUCGUUCCCGGCCUUAGCCUGGGUGGACUGGAUGCGCGCGGCAUCGGUCGGGUUCAUCUUCACGCCAGCGGGAACACCACCGCGAGCACCCUUGGGAGACAUUGUGAUAUGAGAGGUGGUGAGGUGGUUGUAGUAGUUGGUGGAUGAGGA